rnacentral:rRNA from 1 species
UACGUAGGGACCAAGCGUUGUUCGGAUUUACUGGGCGUAAAGGGCGCGUAGGCGGCGUGUUAAGUCACUUGUGAAAUCUCUAAGCUUAACUUAGAACGGUCAAGUGAUACUGAUGUGCUAGAGUGCAGAAGGGGCAACUGGAAUUCUCGGUGUAGCGGUGAAAUGCGUAGAUAUCGAGAGGAACACCUGCGGCGAAGGCGGGUUGCUGGGCUGACACUGACGCUGAGGCGCGAAAGCUAGGGGAGCGAACGGG